UUCAAUGCCGGAAGUUCAGCAACCUCCACGCCGCUGAGCAGCGAUCUUUCACCUACACCGGCGUUCAGGAUUAUUUUCCAGAAUUGUUUUUUGUUUUUUUGGUCGUCUGAAAAGCUGCCUCUUUCGCUCAAUGGAAAACAAGGACUUUGUUUCAGCUUUUAAGCUUUAGGUAAACUUGAUGGGUAGUCAACAAACGUGUGUAAAUGUGGCGUAAUAAUUAGGGAAAUUGCUUCUUCCGGUUGCCCUUUGUGGCACUGUCCUGAGUGAUGACUGAAGGGGGAGCUUCCAAUCUACUCCCUGACGGCCUCCUCUCCAGAUAGCUGGACCUAGCUGAAUAAGAAAGCUAACUGAGCCUGAGCCACAGUGAGCCAGUAAGCAGUUUUCUUCUAUGGUGUCGACUUCAGCUCCUGCUGACUUCCCUUAUUUAGGAGUAUGAGCCACGUAAGCCCUUUCCUCCCCCAAGUUGCUUUUGGUCAGUCUUAACACAGUUAAAAGAUGGGUUUGUGUGUCAAUUUAAUACAAACUAGAGUCAUCAGGGAGGAGCCUCCUGGAGAUCCAACUAUAAGGCAUUUUCUCAACUAGUGAUCAAUAGGGAAGGGUCCACCCAUUAGAGGUGGUGCCAUCCCUGGGCUGAUGGUCCUGGGUUCUACAAGAAAGCAGGCUGAGCAAGCCAGUAAGCACCCCUCCAUGGCCUCUGCAUCAGCUCCUGCCUCCAGAAUCCUGCCCUGCUUGGGUUCCUGUCCUGACUUUCUUUCGGUGAUGAACAGCAAUGUGGAAGUGUAAGCUGAAUAAACCCUUUCUACCCAGCAUGCUUUUUGGUCAUGGUGUUUUGCUGCAGCAAUAGAAACCCUAACUAAGACACGGCAGAAGAAUGAAGGCAAAAAAAAAAAAAAGAAGAAGAAGAAGAAUGAAGGCAGAAUGCUAUAUGUUGAUAGUGCUGUUGGAGUAACUUUGAAAGCAAUCAACAGUACAUACUUAAGGUCUAUUAAUUUGAAAUGUUUACACAUAAAUAAAUGCCAGCAAAACCAGUAAUCCAAUCAAGACAAUGAACGUAUGCAGACUCUCAAGCAUUUAUAUACAGAAUGUAGAAAUCUGAAAGUGUCCAGGGCUCCUUCUGCCCUCCAUGGCUCCCUAACACGGCGUUUGGCAGCAGCUGGUCAGCUUUCUGUCGCUAAGAAACCAUUUGUAUUUUAGAAAUUUUUGUGUUGAUGAAAUCUGACUAUGUGCUCCUUCACUAUUCAACUUAACUAUUUUGAGAUUCAGUCACAUAGAUACUAAAGAAAGAACUCCACUGUAUGGAAAUGUAGGGAAAAAUGCAGGCACGGCCUGGCAACCAGCCCACGUGACACACUGCACUUCUAAAUAAGAGGUAUGCUAUGCCCAGUGCCAGAGCACUGAAUUCUGAAAGGGUGCGAGUAGCGGGUUGCUGGCCUGUGAAGAAUCUGCAUCUCCACGGUUCCUUUAAUGGGCUGCUUCUGCAUGGGAGUGCUCACUCUCCAAUCUGAGGUAGAAGACGGAACUUGGGACCUUGAGGGUGCUACGUGGGCACUGAGCUGCAUCCCCAACAAUUUUCAUUCUUAUAAUAGUGUUUUGAAAAGAAUUGUUUGGGAUAAAGUCCCAUUUAUUCAUUUUUGUGCUUCAUCGAUUUUGCUAUUAAUUUUCCAUCUAAAAAAUCUUCACCAGAAUAAAGGCCAUGCAAAUUUUCUCCUGUUUUUAUGGUUUACAUUUAGGUUUACGAUGUUAUUUUCAAUUGAGGUUGUGUAUGUUGAAGGCUUGGAACACAGUCUAUUUCUUGGAAAAUGGCUGUUUAUUGCUUCAGUACCAUUUGUUGAAUGAAUUCCCUACUAAAUCCCAUCUUCAUCUUCA